GUGAAUCAUCAAAUUUUUGAACGCAAAUUGCACUUUCUGGUAUUAUGGAAAGUAUGCGUGUUCGAGGGUCAGUUAAAUAAAAAUCGGUGUUGUUGUUGCCUUUCGUGGUGACGCGUCGGAAUUGGGUCGUCUUACUUUCGGUUAAGUGACUCAAAAUUUUUGCAUGAUUUUCGAAAGUAUUUAAAUCGUUUAUGUACGUUUGAGAUAUCGUAUGCUUAUCAGGUUCGGUCAUUCCCAUGAUUCGCGUCUAUAAUUUUUUAUUAAUUGACCUGAAAUU
rnacentral:misc_RNA from 1 species